AGCGAACGCUGGCGGCAGGCCCAACACAUGCAAGUCGAACGAAGUCUUCGGACUUAGUGGCGGACGGGUGAGUAACACGUGGGAACGUACCUUUUGGUUCGGAACAACUCAGGGAAACUUGAGCUAAUACCGGAUGAGCCCUUAGGGGGAAAGAUUUAUCGCCGAAAGAGCGGCCCGCGUUAGAUUAGCUAGUUGGUGAGGUAAAGGCUCACCAAGGCUACGAUCUAUAGCUGGUCUGAGAGGAUGAUCAGCCACACUGGGACUGAGACACGGCCCAGACUCCUACGGGAGGCAGCAGUGGGGAAUCUUGCACAAUGGGCGAAAGCCUGACGCAGCCAUACCGCGUGAAUGACGAAGGUCUUAGGAUUGUAAAAUUCUUUUACCAGGGACGAUAAUGACGGUACCUGGAGAAAAAGCCCCGGCUAACUUCGUGCCAGCCGCCGCGGUAAGAC
rnacentral:rRNA from 1 species